rnacentral:lncRNA from 1 species
AUGGUCUCAAGGACUUCUAGCCUCAAAUUCUUCUCACUACUAAUCUGUUCGAUUGCCAUUGUUCAGAUAGCGACCGCUGGAGACCCGGACAUUAUUACUGACUUCAUUGCUCCUCCAAAUGGAACAGUAGAUGGAAACUUCUUCACAUACACUGGCUUUCGUGUUCUUGUUGGAGGAGGCCCUCCUCCCACAGCUUUCACGGUGUUGAAGGCAACCCUGGCAGAGUUCCCUGCUCUUAAUGGGCAGAGUGUUUCUUAUGCCGUCCUUCAAUUCCCAUCCGGCACUACUAACCCACCGCACACUCAUCCUCGCUCUGCUGAACUCCUUUUCCUUGUUGAUGGUACCCUUGAAGUCGGUUUUGUUGACACGAAAAACAACCUCUUUACCCAGACUCUGCAAGCAGGUGAUCUGUUUGUGUUUCCGAAGGGACUUGCCCACUUCCAGUACAAUGCUGAUUCACAAAACCCAGCUCUAGCAAUUUCAGCCUUCGGAAGUGCAAAUGCAGGAACAGUAUCAAUCCCCAGCACCUUGUUCACCACCGGCAUUGACGACAAUGUCUUGGCUAUCUCCUUCAAGACAGAUGUAGCCACCAUUCAAAAGCUCAAGGCUGGUCUUGCUCCCAAACCGUAA